rnacentral:rRNA from 1 species
AGUCACUGACAUUAGAUACCCCCGUAGUCCAGGGUGUAAACGCUGCAGACUUGGUGUUGGAAGUCCUUUGGGGGCAUUCAGUGCCGGAGAGAAGUUGUUAAGUCUGCUACUUGGGGAGUACGUCCGCAAGGAUGAAACUUAAAGGAAUUGGCGGGGGAGCACCGCAACGGGAGGAGCGUGCGGUUUAAUUGGAUUCAACGACCGAAAAACUCACCAGCAGCGACUGUUACAUGAAAGUCAGGUUAAUGACCUUACUAGAUUUUCAG